GACCAGGACUUUGCCCAGGAGGCCCUGACUGUUCUGUCUCUUGCCUGAUGCUGGAAGAAGAGCCAGGACAGGCCCUCCGGUCC